AAAUGACGGUACCUGACUAAGAAGCACCGGCUAAAUACGUGCCAGCAGCCGCGGUAAUACGUAUGGUGCAAGCGUUAUCCGGAUUUACUGGGUGUAAAGGGAGCGUAGACGGCUGUGUAAGUCUGAAGUGAAAGCCCGGGGCUCAACCCCGGGACUGCUUUGGAAACUAUGCAGCUAGAGUGUCGGAGAGGUAAGUGGAAUUCCCAGUGUAGCGGUGAAAUGCGUAGAUAUUGGGAGGAACACCAGUGGCGAAGGCGGCUUACUGGACGAUGACUGACGUUGAGGCUCGAAAGCGUGGGGAGCAAACAGGAUUAGAUACCCUGGUAGUCCACGCCGUAAACGAUGACUACUAGGUGUCGGGGAGCAAAGCUCUUCGGUGCCGCAGCAAACGCAAUAAGUAGUCCACCUGGGGAGUACGUUCGCAAGAAUGAAACUCAAAG
rnacentral:rRNA from 1 species